GACGAACGCUGGCGGCGUGCCUAAUACAUGCAAGUUGAGCGCUGAAGGUUGGUACUUGUACCAACUGGAUGAGCAGCGAACGGGUGAGUAACGCGUGGGGAAUCUGCCUUUGAGCGGGGGACAACAUUUGGAAACGAAUGCUAAUACCGCAUAAAAACUUUAAACACAAGUUUUAAGUUUGAAAGAUGCAAUUGCAUCACUCAAAGAUGAUCCCGCGUUGUAUUAGCUAGUUGGUGAGGUAAAGGCUCACCAAGGCGAUGAUACAUAGCCGACCUGAGAGGGUGAUCGGCCACAUUGGGACUGAGACACGGCCCAAACUCCUACGGGAGGCAGCAGUAGGGAAUCUUCGGCAAUGGGCGGAAGUCUGACCGAGCAACGCCGCGUGAGUGAAGAAGGUUUUCGGGUCGUAAAACUCUGUUGGUAGAGAAGAACGUUGGUGAGAGUGGAAAGCUCAUCAAGUGACGGUAACUACCCAGAAAGGGACGGCUAACUACGUG
rnacentral:rRNA from 1 species